UGCAGUGUGCACGGCCCAAAGAAGUGACUGCCCAACACUCGCAACGUUUCAUAUUUCUCCUCUGCGCCUCGGUGAUGCCGUUUGAAAGGCCGAGGCUCGACUCUGAGCUUGCCAUCUUUCUGUCCAUAGAGUCCUGCUUCUGGCCCUUCUGACAGUCGACUAUUGAAGGUGGAACCAGCAGCGGAACUGAAAGACAGAAGCAGCAGCAGCCUUGGGACCAGUGAGAGCUCGGUUGGAGUGACAGCUCCUUCUGUUGAUGACUGAACCUGCAGUACUUCAGAUGGACCAACAGCUGGGGACAAUAGCCUUCUUUCCUCAGGCAUAAGGUUUACGAAGAAAGAGGGAGAUGGACGGAGAGGACGUCUUGGAGCCAGCAAUCCACCUGCAGUAGCUUACGACUCUGACUGCACAGCAGGAGGAGAAAACGAUGGUGCUGAACUUCACACCUAACAUUCAGAUUGAA